AGAAGAAGCACCGGCUAACUCCGUGCCAGCAGCCGCGGUAAUACGGAGGGUGCAAGCGUUAAUCGGAAUUACUGGGCGUAAAGCGCACGCAGGCGGUCUGUCAAGUCGGAUGUGAAAUCCCCGGGCUUAACCUGGGAACUGCAUUCGAAACUGGCAGGCUAGAGUCUUGUAGAGGGGGGUAGAAUUCCAGGUGUAGCGGUGAAAUGCGUAGAGAUCUGGAGGAAUACCGGUGGCGAAGGCGGCCCCCUGGACAAA
rnacentral:rRNA from 1 species